rnacentral:rRNA from 1 species
GGCUCAGGAYGAACGCUGGCGGCAUGCCUAAUACAUGCAAGUCGAACGGAGGUGCUUGCACCUCAGUGGCGAACGGGUGAGUAACACGUAUCUAAUCUACCUUCUAGCGGGGGAUAACUUUUGGAAACGAAAGGUAAUACCGCAUGUGGAUGUUAUUAUCGCAUGAGAAAACAUUCAAAGAUCCGUUUGGAUCACUAGAAGAUGAGGAUGCGGCGUAUUAGCUAGUAGGCGGGGUAAAGGCCCACCUAGGCGAUGAUACGUAGCCGAACUGAGAGGUUGAUCGGCCACAUUGGGACUGAGAUACGGCCCAGACUCCUACGGGAGGCAGCAGUAGGGAAUUUUUCACAAUGGACGAAAGUCUGAUGAAGCAAUGCCGCGUGAGUGAUGACGGCCUUCGGGUUGUAAAGCUCUGUUGUAAGGGAAGAAAACAUAGGAGAGGAAAUGCUCUUAUCUUGACGGUACCUUACCAGAAAGCCACGGCUAACUAUGUGCCAGCAGCCGCGGUAAUACAUAGGUGGCAAGCGUUAUCCGGAUUUAUUGGGCGUAUAGGGUGCGUAGGCGGUUUCGCAAGUUUGAGGUUAAAGCCCGGAGCUCAACUCCGGUUCGCCUUGAAAACUGCGGGACUAGAAUAUCAGAGAGGUAAGCGGAAUUCCAUGUGUAGCGGUAAAAUGCGUAGAUAUAUGGAAGAACACCAGUGGCGAAAGCGGCUUACUGGCUGAUUAUUGACGCUGAGGCACGAAAGCGUGGGGAGCAAAUAGGAUUAGAUACCCUAGUAGUCCACGCCGUAAACGUUGAGUACUAAGUAUUGGGGAUUACCUCAGUGCUGCAGCUAACGCAUUAAGUACUCCGCCUGAGUAGUAUGCUCGCAAGAGUGAAACUCAAAGGAAUUGACGGGGACCCGCACAAGUGGUGGAGCAUGUGGUUUAAUUCGAAGCAACACGAAGAACCUUACCAGGGCUUGACAUACAGUGCAAAGCUACAGAGAUGUAGUGGAGGUUAACAUUGAUACAGGUGGUGCAUGGUUGUCGUCAGUUCGUGCCGUGAGGUGUUGGGUUAAGUCCCGCAACGAACGCAACCCUUGUCGUUAGUUACUAACAUUAAGUUGAGGACUCUAACGAGACUGCUAGUGUAAGCUAGAGGAAGGUGGGGAUGACGUCAAAUCAUCAUGCCCCUUAUGUCCUGGGCUACACACGUGCUACAAUGGCCGAUACAAAGAGUCGCAAUCUCGCGAGGGGGAGCUAAUCUCAAAAAGUCGGUCUCAGUUCGGAUUGAAGUCUGCAACUCGACUUCAUGAAGCCGGAAUCACUAGUAAUCGCGAAUCAGCUAUGUCGCGGUGAAUACGUUCUCGGGUCUUGUACACACCGCCCGUCAAACCACGAGAGUUGGUAAUACCAGAAGUACGUUUCCUAACCGUAAGGAAGGCGCGUCCCAAGGUAGGACUAGCGAUUGGGGUUAAGUCGUAACAAGGUAUCCGUACGGGAACGUGCGG